UCAGAGCCCAAAGAGCCUUGAAAAAAAAUCAAAGGGUCAGGUUGGGUGGUGCUAACCCAUGAUCUUCCAUAGAUAAUGCAUAGGUCGUCUUCACUAUAAAUUUCAACGACUUGUAAAAACGCCAAUAUAAAAAGUUAUCGUUGUCAGUAGAAGUUACUCCCAUUGUUACAAAUGUCGAGCAUCAUCAAACUCAAAACACGAAUUAACCGUAUGUAAAUCCUAAUCAGCUUAAGUAGGAAGGAUAAAGUGAUUAACUUUCCAUGUUCUAGCACUUCGGAGAGUAACAUUCGAUUUAUACACAAAAAUCCUUCCAUUUACCAUCUAUCUCUUCCUGCCACCAUUGUCCAAUUUCCAAUCUUCCAAUCACAACCUCGUAGUAGGAGGUUACUCGCUCGACAAAUACCCCUCAUACCCCAAGAAAGUCGUCAUAUUAUAGUAGCAUUUGAGAUUCCCUUCAUAAGAGGGGAUGGAAACUUAAUAUUGCAAAUUCCUGCUAACAUAGAGUGCGGAUUGUUGACUGCACACCACACUUGUCUUAUUAAGCUGCGGUAAGAUAGAAUCUACCUUAUAUGAAAUUGAAAGCGGUAUUUCCAUACAACUGAGAACAUGAGAAGCCAUUGCAAUGAGUAAAGAAUUAAUAAGGAUGAGUUUCUGAGCCUGGGAAAGGCACGCAGAAUUCCAAGAACUAACCUUGUUAAUUACCUUUGUCGACCAUAAAUUGAAAAUUCGUACACUUUUUCCCCAUUAGGUUGGCAGACACUUCUAAAUAUGUUAUAUGGCCCCAAAAGUUUGAAACUAGUUGUAUUUGCAAAAUGCUUCUGAAAUUUUACUAUCAAAAUCUUAAUAAUUAGUCUUACUAUUAAGGAAAAAGUUGACAUUUAUAGUUCCCUUAUCUUCAAAAGAUUUUUUUUUCUCCAACUUGAUAUAAUUAUGCUUUAAGGUGCGAAUGAGUCACAAGCGCAAUACAAAUUAUAAAUAGAAACAAGGAUAUUCAAACCCACAAUCUAUCGUACACGUGUCGUUAGUAUUAACCAAUGGACCAAAACUUCAUUGAUAUUUAUUAAUUAGAGUAUGUGAUAGAUAAUAAACUACUUUAUUGGUAUUGGCUAAAGGACCCCAAGUCCCCAAUAAGUGCAAUAACAACUUUAAAUUUCCACCAUGCACUAAAAAAUUGUGUAAAAACUGAUAAUAUCACAUGCCACUAACUAUAGGGCUAUAAAUACAGAUCAAAACAUGCUUAAAUUCAAGCACAUUAUUCACAGAUCAGAGCUAUCAAAGAUCUACCAAUUAGAGAGCUAAUUAAGUAGUUAGCCACCAAAUUUGGUAAUGGAGAGAGUUAUUAUGUUCAAUUACAUGAAGCUAAUCAUCCUACUUGCUUUUGUGCUUAUUGCUUCUGCAGGUCCGAUGUACGUAAAGACGUCGGAAACAACCGGCACACAAAGUCUCCAUGGCACUAGAGCGGCGGCCGGAGGAAGGAAUAAGUUUUAUGAGGUGGUUCAAAACACAAUAGAAGAUCAAUUUGAAGCCACAAAUAAUAAGAAGAAAGAGGCAUGUAUUAUGUAUAACAAAAGGUUAUCCUUGUGAGCCCUACGCCAAAUGUUGUAAUUCUUGCCUUGUUGAGCCCGUCCAUGGAUUCUAUUAUUGCUCUUGAUCAACGGAUCUUCCCGUGUCUUGAUUAAUUUUAACCUAAUGUGUGUUGGGUUGGUUUGUUCUCGUAUGUUUAAGAUAAGUGAGUUAUUUUUUCCUUUUAAUUUUACAUAAGAUGAGAGGCUUUCAAGUUCAUAUGCCUCGUGUUAAUCUUAUUCAUUUACCAUUCUUGUAUUUUAUGUGAGAUAUUUUGAUUUGCAAAUGAAUAUUAAGUAUUUAUUAUAGGUAAAUUAGGAAUUUAUUUUAAUGAAUA